UACGUAGGGUGCAAGCGUUGUCCGGAUUUAUUGGGCGUAAAGAGCGUGUAGGCGGCUUUACAGGUCCGUUGUGAAAACUCGAGGCUCAACCUCGAGACGCCGGUGGAAACCGUAAAGCUAGAGUCCGGAAGAGGAGAGUGGAAUUCCUGGUGUAGCGGUGAAAUGCGCAGAUAUCAGGAGGAACACCCGUGGCGAAAGCGGCUCUCUGGGACGGUACUGACGCUGAGACGCGAAAGCGUGGGGAGCGAACAGG
rnacentral:rRNA from 1 species